CCUACGGGUGGCAGCAGUGAGGAAUAUUGGUCAAUGGGCGCGAGCCUGAACCAGCCAAGUAGCGUGAAGGAUGACUGCCCUACGGGUUGUAAACUUCUUUUAUAAAGGAAUAAAGUGAGGCACGUGUGCCUUUUUGUAUGGACGUUAUGAAUAAGGAUCGGCUAACUCCGUGCCAGCAGCCGCGGUAAUACGGAGGCUCCGAGCGUUAUCCGGAUUUGUUGGGUUUAAAGGGAGCGUAGAGGGGGUGGUAAGUCAGUUGUGAAAGUUUGCGGCUCAACCGUAAAAUGGCAAUUGAUACUGGCAGUCUUGCGUACCGUUGCGGUAGGCGGACUUCGUGGUGUAGCG
rnacentral:rRNA from 1 species